GGAUCCGACAUUUUGGAUCCCGCCAAAAUGAUGAGCCUCACAGCAUUAAUGCUGAGGAAUAUCGAUCCCGCCACUGAUCAAGGGGUACCCAAGCUCCAAUCCACGAAGGUCGAAGCCAUGGCUGAAAUCGAAGUUCGAAGAGCAAAAGCUGAAGCCGAUGAUGAUGCUACGAGGUUGCUAUGAUGUCUGGCUGUUGAGGGAGGUUGGACAUGAUAGGCUGGAUCAACCAGAAAUCGGGUCUGAAUGCAUGACGGAUUCAACCUGUUUCAAGUCAUUUUCAAUCUACAGGUUCAUUUUAAGUGAGACUCGUACGCGAGGUAGGUUCAAAGAUCGGAACUUGUUGAUACGGGUAAAGAGAUGGUGGAAGGGAGUGCCAGUUUACCUGUGAUAGGCGGCGAAUCAGUGUAAGGAGGAAGAACAAGGAGGAGGAGGAUGCUCUAGAGUUGAUGUGUAAUGUUACUAGGGAGAAAAGUCGAUAUUUGGUCCCUCGUGCACUCAGGCUUAUAUAGAGGGGUCAUCCUUUGUUCUAUAGUGCCACGUAACUAACAGUACAGUUUUCUGCACGGUUGUGUGGGUUAGCCAGGUGGCAGUGCUGUUGCAUGUUAGUUGCCGUCAUGGAGUGUACUUUGUGAUCUUACUUUGACAUUCUCGCCCUUAGGGUCAUACAUGGUGGUUAUGCUUUAGUGGUUUUAGUAAGUGCCGCGUGACGGACCGCCUAUAGGUCGACUCAGUCAUCCUUCCAUGAGAAGAGACUGUCCCUUGUGAAGUGUCAUCCGCAGACCAUCCAACAACUUAGGACGUGAAAUGAAAUGUUACAUUUCAACUUUUGGUGUUUUUGUUUGAAUUUGAUUCAUUCUUUUAUCUCAAAGUUUUCACACUAAAAUUCAUAUGAAAUACAUGAUUACCAUGAAA